AUCUGUUGAGGACAAAUAAAAUGAAUGUGAGAGUCUAUUCCUCCUGCAGUCAAAAUGUGCCCCUCGCCCGCAAUGGCCUCAGUUCCAGGGCCAAUGACAAUAUCGACCCCUGGCUGGGUAUCGGGAUUACCGGCCUUGCCUACCUUCCAGAUCCGACCAUUUUUAAUUCCAACAUCCGCUUUUACGAUUCCCCAAUAAUCAAUAAUUAGAGCAUUAGUGAUAACCGUAUCAGCGGCAGCGGCUGACAGAGAUUGGCUUUGGCCCAUUCCGUCCCU
rnacentral:sRNA from 1 species